rnacentral:SRP_RNA from 1 species
GCCAGGUGUGGUGGCUCGCGCCUGUAAUCCCAGCUACUUGGGAGGCUGAGAAAGGAGAAUCGCUUGAGCCUGGGAGGCAGAGGUUGCAGUGAGCUGAGAUCGUACCACUGCACUCCAGCCUGGGCAACAGAGUGAGACUCUGUCUCAA